rnacentral:misc_RNA from 1 species
GCGUCCCCUAGCGUUUUGGAACGCUGAUGACUCGCGAUUUGAAACUCACGAACUAGAUCGCGGCUCUCAGGGGGUUUGAGCGAAUUUGGUAACUAUGUUAGUUCUUGGAGUGAGCGGUUGCUUAAAAACUAUUUCUUCUCGAUUAAAAAUUAAGCCACAGAAAAGGCGCACCAGUUUGAUGUCUCUUUGUAAGCUUCAUUCGCAUGUUUUUGGUUUCUCCAUUGAAUAGAGUGUUACUAUAAAGUUUGAUGUGAGGUUACAAUAUUAUUGUCAUAUUUAAUAAAAAAAUCCUUU